rnacentral:rRNA from 1 species
GUGGGGAAUAUUGGACAAUGGGCGAAAGCCUGAUCCAGCCAUGCCGCGUGUGUGAAGAAGGUCUUCGGAUUGUAAAGCACUUUAAGUUGGGAAGAAGGGCAGUAAGUUAAUACCUUGCUGUUUUGACGUUACCGACAGAAUAAGCACCGGCUAACUUCGUGCCAGCAGCCGCGGUAAUACGAAGGGUGCAAGCGUUAAUCGGAAUUACUGGGCGUAAAGCGCGCGUAGGUGGUUUUGUAAGUUGGAGGUGAAAUCCCCGGGCUCAACCUGGGAACGGCGUCCAAAACUGCAUGACUAGAGUACGGUAGAGGGUAGUGGAAUUUCCUGUGUAGCGGUGAAAUGCGUAGAUAUAGGAAGGAACACCAGUGGCGAAGGCGACUACCUGGACUGAUACUGACACUGAGGUGCGAAAGCGUGGGGAGCAAACAGGAUUAGAAACCCGGGUAGUCC